rnacentral:rRNA from 1 species
UACGUAGGGUGCAAGCGUUAAUCGGAAUUACUGGGCGUAAAGCGUGCGCAGGCGGCUUUGCAAGACAGAUGUGAAAUCCCCGGGCUCAACCUGGGAACUGCAUUUGUGACUGCAAGGCUAGAGUACGGCAGAGGGGGAUGGAAUUCCGCGUGUAGCAGUGAAAUGCGUAGAUAUGCGGAGGAACACCAAUGGCGAAGGCAAUCCCCUGGGCCUGUACUGACGCUCAUGCACGAAAGCAUGGGUAGCGAACAGG